GGUCUUUGAAUUGAAGAACGCGCUGCGCCGGUGGUCCAUCUCCGUCCGCACCUCGCAGGAACUAUCUUCUUCACCGUACGGAAUAUACAAACGGAGGACGCGCUUGGAAUUGUUCGAGUCCCCAUUCAAUCAACCUGCGAGUGCGAGGAUCGUGGGGGCAUGUUCUGUAGCAGUAGCGUUUCUGCAAAAGAUGUCGAUUGAUUCUCCUCGCUUCCUGCCUCCACUCGCGGCAGCUCAAUCAAUGGACCUCAACCUCUUGUCAUCCUGGGUUACAUGUCUGCCACAACCACACCACAAG
rnacentral:misc_RNA from 1 species